rnacentral:lncRNA from 1 species
AUGACCUAAAUAUCAUAAUUAUCACAAAACCAUGACACAUAUCAGAAAAGAUCAAAAUAUAACAGAACAAAGUGAAAUCAAAACUACAAAAACAAUUUAUCCCUUCACUAUGUCAUAUCUGAAAUUAACCUAACUAUCAUCACCAAAAAUACAAAUUCAAAUAUCACAAAACUUUCAACCUAAUUUGAAAUAACCGCAUCUACUAACAAAUCUACAUCAAGUUUAAAGAUAAAUCAACAUUUAGAACCUAACCUGAGUCGAUUCAUCACAAAACACAUGCGAAAAUCCUUCGUAAACCUCAGAUUUCGUCCUUCGAACAUCCGUCAACCGCUUCACCUAAAAAGUAAGAAUCACAAAAGAACAUGGUAAGAUAUAUAACACUCAUUGCAACUUAUCAGAACAUCA